rnacentral:rRNA from 1 species
UACGUAGGGGGCAAGCGUUGUCCGGAAUCAUUGGGCGUAAAGAGCGUGUAGGCGGCCCGGUAAGUCCGCUGUGAAAGUCGGGGGCUCAACCCUCGGAUGCCGGUGGAUACUGUCGGACUAGAGUGCGGAAGAGGCGAGUGGAAUUCCUGGUGUAGCGGUGGAAUGCGCAGAUAUCAGGAGGAACACCGAUGGCGAAGGCAGAUCUCUGGGCCGUAACUGACGCUGAGGAGCGAAAGCCGUGGGGGAGCGAACAGG